rnacentral:rRNA from 1 species
UACGGGGGGAGCAAGCGUUGUUCGGAUUUACUGGGCGUAAAGGGCGCGUAGGCGGUCGUGACAAGUCACUUGUGAAAUCUCCGGGCUUAACUCGGAACGGUCAAGUGAUACUGUCGGACUAGAGUACAGAAGGGGCAACUGGAAUUCUCGGUGUAGCGGUGAAAUGCGUAGAUAUCGAGAGGAACACCUGCGGCGAAGGCGGGUUGCUGGGACGUUUACUGACGCUGAGACGCGAAAAGCGUGGGGGAGCAAAACAGG